rnacentral:rRNA from 1 species
GGCUCAACCGGGGAGGGUCAUUGGAAACUGGGAAACUUGAGUGCAGAAGAGGAGAGUGGAAUUCCACGUGUAGCGGUGAAAUGCGUAGAGAUGUGGAGGAACACCAGUGGCGAAGGCGACUCUCUGGUCUGUAACUGACGCUGAGGAGCGAAAGCGUGGGGAGCGAACAGGAUUAGAUACC